rnacentral:rRNA from 1 species
UUUAGUGGCGCAGCUAACGCAUUAAGUUGACCGCCUGGGGAGUACGGCCGCAAGGUUAAAACUCAAAUGAAUUGACGGGGGCCCGCACAAGCGGUGGAGCAUGUGGUUUAAUUCGAAGCAACGCGAAGAACCUUACCAGGUCUUGACAUCCUCGGAACUUGGCAGAGAUGCCUUGGUGCCUUCGGGAGCCGAGUGACAGGUGCUGCAUGGCCGUCGUCAGCUCGUGUCGUGAGAUGUUGGGUUAAGUCCCGUAACGAGCGCAACCCUUGUCCUUAGUUGCCAGCACGUCAUGGUGGGAACUCUAGGGAGACUGCCGGUGACAAACCGGAGGAAGGUGGGGACGACGUCAGGUCAUCAUGGCCCUUACGACCUGGGCUACACACGUGCUACAAUGGCUGGUACAGAGGGUUGCGAAGUCGCGAGGCGAAGCUAAUCCCUUAAAGCCAGUCGUAGUCCGGAUCGGAGUCUGCAACUCGACUCCGUGAAGUCGGAAUCGCUAGUAAUCGCGGAUCAGAAUGCCGCGGUGAAUACGUUCCCGGGCCUUGUACACACCGCCCGUCACACCAUGGGAGUGGAUUGCACCAGAAGUGGCUAGUCUAACUACG